CGUACACUCCUACGGGAGGCAGCAGUGAGGAAUAUUGGACAAUGGGUGGAAGCCUGAUCCAGCCAUCCCGCGUGCAGGAAGACGGCCCUAUGGGUUGUAAACUGCUUUUAUCUGGGGAUAAACCUACUUACGUGUAAGUAGCUGAAGGUACCAGAAGAAUAAGCACCGGCUAACUCCGUGCCAGCAGCCGCGGUAAUACGGAGGGUGCAAGCGUUAUCCGGAUUUAUUGGGUUUAAAGGGUCCGUAGGCGGACUGAUAAGUCAGUGGUGAAAUCCGACAGCUUAACUGUCGAACUGCCAUUGAUACUGUUAGUCUUGAGUAAGGUUGAAGUGGCUGGAAUAAGUAGUGUAGCGGUGAAAUGCAUAGAUAUUACUUAGAACACCAAUUGCGAAGGCAGGUCACUAAGUCUUAACUGACGCUGAUGGACGAAAGCGUGGGGAGCGAACAGGAUUAGAAACCCCGGUAGUCC
rnacentral:rRNA from 1 species